rnacentral:misc_RNA from 1 species
CUGUGCUUCGGCGCAGCCAACCGUCGUGGGGCUGUCUUCUCACUUUUCCUUCCUUUCCGCUGCUUUUGUCGGGGAGGAACGCUAGUUAUGGGUGCCUGUUUGGUUCUACCCUCGUGGGGAACUACGUUGUGUUUCGUGAUGGAUUUUUGCUUGCUCCGCUGAUAUUUGUUUAUCUUUCGGUGCAAGUCGAUUUGUUGGCUGGGAGAACUUGUGCGGCAGCGGGUGAAUGCCCCGGGACUGCACUUGGAUUUUGCUGGCUCUCACGGAUGCCGUGCCCAUCGAGGAAUCUGCGGGCCUCUUGACCCCUGAUUUCCUCGUGAGUUCCCUUGUAUACUGGAUCAUUGCUCCGCCGCUCUGCUUUCUCGUCGUGGCCUUUGGGAUGUCGGAGCGGUGCGCGCGGGGCCUGUCCGUUGCAUGCGAGAUGCUUAUCCGGUUGGACGAGUGACCGCCGGUUCCCGUCGCGUGAAACGGACUCCCAUUUAGGGUGUUCCGGACCGACGUGCCGGCUCUCAUUUUAGACGCGCUACCUGGUUGAUCCUGC